rnacentral:ncRNA from 2 species
CUAGUCAAUUACCUCCGAUCUUACUUAUCCCUCUGGGAUUUGUAAGACGUUAGGGUAUAGAGAGUAAUCGCUAUGCCUGCCAUUAGCAAAGGAGCUUAUUCUGGAUUCAA